rnacentral:rRNA from 1 species
AAGGUUUCCUGAGGAAGGCUCGUCCGCUCAGGGUUAGUCGGGACCUAAGCCGAGGCCGAAAGGCGUAGGCGAUGGACAACAGGUUGAUAUUCCUGUACCACCUCGUUAUCGUUUGAACGAUGGGGGGACGCAGGAGGAUAGGGUAAGCGCACUGUUGGAUAUGUGCGUCUAAGCAGUUAGGCUGGUAAAUAGGGAAAUCCGUUUACCGUGAAGGCUGAGCUGUGACAGCGAGGGAAAUAUAGUACCGAAGUUCCUGAUUCCACACUGCCAAGAAAAGCCUCUAGUGAGAUAACAGGUGCCCGUACCGCAAACCGACACAGGUAGGCGAGGAGAGAAUCCUAAGGUGAGCGAGAGAACUCUCGUUAAGGAACUCGGCAAAAUGACCCCGUAACUUCGGGAGAAGGGGUGCUUUUUAGGGUGAAUAGCCCUGAAGAGCCGCAGUGAAUAGGCCCAGGCGACUGUUUAGCAAAAACACAGGUCUCUGCGAAGCCGCAAGGCGAAGUAUAGGGGCUGACGCCUGCCCGGUGCUGGAAGGUUAAGAGGAGGGGUUAGCGCAAGCGAAGCUCUGAAUUGAAGCCCCAGUAAACGGCGGCCGUAACUAUAACGGUCCUAAGGUAGCGAAAUUCCUUGUCGGGUAAGUUCCGACCCGCACGAAAGGCGUAACGAUCUGGGCACUGUCUCAACGAGAGACUCGGUGAAAUUAUAGUACCUGUGAAGAUGCAGGUUACCCGCGACAGGACGGAAAGACCCCGUGGAGCUUUACUGUAGCCUGAUAUUGAAUUUUGGUACAGCUUGUACAGGAUAGGUAGGAGCCGUAGAAGCCGGAGCGCUAGCUUCGGUGGAGGCGUCGGUGGGAUACUACUCUGGCUGUAUUGAAAUUCUAACCCUCACCUCUGAUCGAGGUGGGAGACAGUGUCAGGUGGGCAGUUUGACUGGGGCGGUCGCCUCCUAAAGAGUAACGGAGGCGCCCAAAGGUUCCCUCAGAAUGGUUGGAAAUCAUUCGUAGAGUGUAAAGGCACAAGGGAGCUUGACUGCGAGACCUACAAGUCGAGCAGGGACGAAAGUCGGGCUUAGUGAUCCGGUGGUUCCGCAUGGAAGGGCCAUCGCUCAACGGAUAAAAGCUACCCCGGGGAUAACAGGCUUAUCUCCCCCAAGAGUCCACAUCGACGGGGAGGUUUGGCACCUCGAUGUCGGCUCAUCGCAUCCUGGGGCUGUAGUCGGUCCCAAGGGUUGGGCUGUUCGCCCAUUAAAGCGGUACGCGAGCUGGGUUCAGAACGUCGUGAGACAGUUCGGUCCCUAUCCGUCGUGGGCGCAGGAAAUUUGAGAGGAGCUGUCCUUAGUACGAGAGGACCGGGAUGGACGCACCGCUGGUGUACCAGUUGUUCUGCCAAGAGCAUCGCUGGGUAGCUAUGUGCGGAAGGGAUAAGUGCUGAAAGCAUCUAAGCAUGAAGCCCCCCUCGAGAUGAGAUUUCCCAUAGCGUAAGCUAGU